AAUCCUAAAAAAAGCCGAGGAUUUAAAACCUUGCCAGCAGAGAUGGCCCAGGGCCGGGCUUAUUUUGUCGAUUAAAAUAAAGAGAAGCCCGAAGAUCCGCAUCCAGCUGGGUCUAGCGGGGUCCUCAGCAGGCAGGACCGUGGAGGAGGUGACAAUCUCGACUCCGGCCGCACGCGAGACAGGGCAGCUGGGCGCGUUCUGGAGGCGGAGGCGGAGGAUCAGAAGUUCAAGGUUGUUCUUGGCUACACAGCAAGUUUGGGGCCAGCAAGGGCUACACGAGACCCUGUUCCAAGCAAUCGACUUUUAACAAGGAAAGACUAUCUUCUGAGGGUUGAGGUUAGCCCCCUGUCCAGAGUCAGAAGUUUGCAUAGUCUGCAGGAGGACGAGUCGGAUUCAGCCCUGUGAGUUGGGUCACGUGAUCUGCUCUGCUCCCUCACCUGAAGAGCAGGAAGAAUAAACGGCCUCCUCUGGACUCUCGUGGGUAGAGUGAGGACAGCGGGCAUGUGGAGACUCACAAUGUGCCCAAUACCUGGAAUGCAGAUAGCGUGACUGAUGCUCCAGCAGUCACUUUGGAACGUGAGGCAAACUUGAGUUUGUUGAUGGAAAAAAGCAGAAGGCUCCAGGGCUUUGAAGAUGGAGGUAUUCACUGAUAGUGCUUUUCUGAACUUCCUUCAGGUGGAAAUAUGAUCCGCUUACUGCCGGCCCAGGAGGUGCAGGGCCCGGGCUUGUAAUACUUGUAAUACGAACCAUCGAUUCCUUCAGUUUUUGUGUCUUCUAAAAUUAGAAGACAUAAGUGGUUUUUCGUUCAUUGUGCCCGACACCUGGAAGAGGCAACUUCAGAGAGAAAGGGUUUGUCUGGUGCUCAGUUUUCCGAGGAGGCUGUCCAGGGAGGAGGAGAAGGCUCGCCGGGAGCUUGCUCGCCUCAGGGCAGGAGGCAGACUGGAGGUGAAGCCAAACUGAGCAUUAAGCCUCAAGGCCUGCCCACCAUCUUCCAAUAAGGCUCCUCGCCCAAAGUUUUCAGCGAUUUAAAGAGGGCUUCCUGAAGCCACCAGCACGGAGAGUCACAGCCCAGAGGAUGUGGGGACAGAGCCACGUGAGCAUCUAGACGGGAUGAGAUAUUUUGAGGGCAGAUUAAAAAGCGCCAAAGUCCAGGUAAGAAAAUAAAGUUUAAUACCAUCCUAAUCUGGGUGGAUAUAUAAACUCCCCAGCAGCUGUCUUUGUACAAUCAGGCAGAUGUGCGGACUUCCAAGAGUUAAGUACCACAUUCAGCAAGACAAACCCGUCCGAGUGCCACACUAACGUCACCGCGGAUUUCACAAGGACACAUUUCUGCUUCGACCCUUCAGACUCACAUACAACACACCCACCCUCACGGACUUAGAUCAGACUACAUCUUCCCACUCUGAGAAUGGUGUAUAAGCCAUCACUACUAGCCAAGUUUCCUUCUAUAUCUGCGACUGACCAAACCUCCUUGAUAGCUGUCUGCUGCUCGUAUACUUUCUCUGGCGUGUCUGGGAACAAAUGCUACUUUCUCUCCUGGCUUCCUGAUCUACUUGUGUAUGAGAAGGUUUCUUAGACUACUCAGCUAAGGUAGUCUAGGGGAAAGGGCAUGCACACACACACACACACACAUACACAGAGGCACAGGAGUCUGAACUAAGGAAAGCCCUCUUGCACACAUACACACACACAGGUAUAGGAGUUUGAACUAUGGGAAGCCCUCUUGCACACAUGCGCACACACACACACAGGUACAGGAGUCUGAACUACGGGAAGCCCUCUUGCACACAUGUGCACAUACAUUCACAGGUACAGGAGUCUGAACUACGGGAAGCCCUCUUGCACACAUGCGCACACACACACACAGGUACAGGAGUCUGAACUACGGGAAGCCCUCUUGCACACACACACACGUACGGGAGUCUGAACUACGGGAAGCCCUCUUGCACACACACACACACAGGUACAGGAGUCUGAACUACGGGAAGCCCUCUUGCACACACACACACACACACACACAGAGGUACGGGAGUCUGAACUACGGGAAGCCCUCUUGCUGACUUGGUUAGAAGAUGAGGAAGCGAGUUAGCCCUUUCUCACACCAUACACAAUGCAGCUGAACUGCUCACUACAAUUGCAGGAAGGCACUUGGGUAAAACAUUGAGAUAAUCCGAGGAAAGGCCCAAUUCCUCAUGUGCAAAAAGUGGCUCCCAGCCAGGGCAAGUGAGAACUGAUCUCUAAGCCCUUGUCACCCUUCCCCAGAGAAGUGGGUAUUGCUUCACAGAGGCUUCCUUUGUUCAGGAAGUGCCUCGGACCAGAGGCUUAGUGCCCAACUGCUUGUAGACAUUCUGGGUUCAAAAGAGAAUUCUGCUCCGGUGUAUGCUUGGGGUGGGUGGAGGGAGCCCGGCGUUGCUGCUAGGGGAAAGGCUACAUUAGCCAAGAAGUCACACUUUCAUGCUCAAGCUGAGCCCUGGGUAUGGGUCUCUGUCUGGAGAGCUAGCUGUAGCUGGCUCAGCUCCCAAGAUUUACCCUUGGACGGCCUUGGCAAAGCCAGAGUUUAAGAAACCCACGAUGGGUAUUUAGCCACUGUGGCUUGCUAUUCGGGCCCUCUACCUAGCAGACAGAGCCAAGAAAGUCAUUGACAUGCCUGCCCAAUAUGUACAGGGGCAUCUGUGGUGAAGACAAACGGCUCUGUUGGAAGGAAGAACAAAAAAAUGAAAGCAAAAAAAAAAAAUUGCACCAGGGGAGGAAGACUGUGGAGACCUGUGGCGUGAGAGCAGAGGACACCAUAGGACACACUAGCCAGCCUUGAUCACACGAAGGCACAUGCUGGGGUCUGAGUUACGCAUGCAGCUCACAUGGCAGCAUCUCGGAUUCCACAGUGAUGUUAUGUGCAUCCAGCCAACCCCAGGAUGGAAAGAAGAUUUCCCCCCCACACCCUGCUCAGUUUCUCAUCUGCGCUGUUUCCUGAGCGUUAGAGAUCGAAACGGCGUGGAGGGCAGAGAAGCUGUGGAGAUCUUCCUCAUUCCAGGUUCUGCAGUCUGAGGUGCUCUGUCCUAGGAGGCCCCUGCCUAGGUGAGUCUGUGACCCCCAUGUCAACAGGGGUGGACAUAGGUACAGUUUUAAAAAGAAUGGGCUAAUCCAGGUUUGUCUCUGAGUCUCUAGCGUGGAAGUCACAGCAGCGCGUCCCUUUAGGAUCAUUCUGUCUUCUCUUAUACAUUCAGCAUGUGUAUUGGGGGUGAGGAUUUGUCAUGGUGUGUAAAUAGGUCAGAGUGCAACCUGUAGAAGUCUGUCCUCUCCCACCAUGUGGGUCUCAAAGACAAUUCAGGUCAUGGGGCUGGGCACCAAGUGCCUCUACCCGCUGAGCCGUCUCACUGCUUGUUUUCGCUUAAAACAAAAUAUGUUUGGGAUGGGGUCUUGACAUAUAGUCUAGGCACUCAUGACGUAGCCAAGGCUGGCCCCGAACCGACAGGCAAUCCUCCCGCCUCUGUCUCAGAGUGUUGGGAUCAUAGGUGUGUACCACUGUGAGUGGACUUCUAAAAUCUGCUGUGGGAAUGUCAACCGUGGAGUGGAUGACAUCACCAAGCCUGGUGUACGGCGGUCAGCGCUGUCAGUGGUCACAGUCGGGAGCACGCUGGUGUACCCACAGUGCUUUGCAUGAGAAGGUGGGGCUCAGUUCAGUGUUCCUCAUGUGUGCUGGAGUCAGUGGGGGUCGGAAUACCACUUCUGCUGUGACUUGAUCAUGAGCCUGGCUUUACUGACUGAACUGCUCUGUGCCUCAGUUUCUCAACCUAUAAACUGGGUCCAAAAAUGUUACUGCUUCCUGGUGCUGUGAGCAUGGGUACAUCAGCAAUCAGUGACCACAGUGCCCUGGAUAGAAGAUGUGUGGGCCUGCAGAACACAGCGCUAGAUGUCGGGUAUGUUCAAGAAUGAGCCUUGGGAGACCAUCGUAACGAACACUUAUGAGAUGGUGAAUAGCUCUGUUAAUGGGACCCCAGGGGCUGGACUCCUACAAUCAGCUGGCUGGGAACGCAUGUGCAGGUACUGUAUUCGGUGUUCUGGUACCAGCUCAUUCACUGGGGCCUAAAACAGGAAGCUCAAGGAAGGAUGCCAACUCCGGCUCUGCUGACGCAGCACUGCCAGGGCCCAGGGAGCUGCCAGCCCUCUGGGGAUGGAAUGGAAGCUAAAUGCAGCGGGAUCCUAACGGCCUUCCUUGUUUGCUCAGCCUCCGGGGUAAGAACAGUCAACUCCUCGUGGACCUUCCCAUAGCCCAGCGUCGCAUAGCUAAGGAUGGCCUUGAACUUCUGAUCUGCAUACGAUGAGAUUACAGGCACGUACCAACAGGUCAGUAUAUGUGGUGCGAAACCCAGGGUUUGCAAUGCCAGCACCAGCUUGUUCCCACUGUGAGAAAUGCAGAUGACUAUCCCCAGCAAUGCUGACACCUUCUCACAGCUUAUGGCCCCUGUCUACUCAAAAGCUUCUGCAUCUGUCCUGGAAGAGGGACUAACUGCCCUUCCACAGCCUCAGCCUCCAGCUUAGGUUCCUGCCUGCCAGCGGGGUGAUUUCCCCUCCUCCACUUGUUGCUCCUAGAAAAAGAGCUCAGAAAUACCACGUGGCUAAGGGUUUCAGUGUGUCCCCAUAACACCAAGCUAAGCAGCCCACAGGGGAUGGUAGUGUUACCAAACUGCUUAGUGCUAUGGUCAGAGUUCCUGCCUGCCCUACCUCCAUGAACUGCAAAGCUGGUACCAAAGCCAGGGGAGUCUGCACCUCAAAAAGGCAGUACCCCUCACUGUGUGAGUUGAGGUGCUGCACCUCUUCCUGUUAGUGAUGAGGUUUCUCACUGCUCUUGGUGGAAGCCAGAGGCAGGGCCUCUCUCAGUCUGAGACAUACAGCUCGACUUGGGUCCGUGAUUCCAACCUCUUACCAUAUCCCCCUGUGCUGGUGAAGUGCAGGCAGCCCCAACCGCAGCCUCGCAAAGGCUCCAGGUUUAAUGGAAUUGCUGUUCUCAGGCCAAACUAUUGAGGGCAAGAGAGGGGUUGUCCCUGCCAUGACCCAAGCCCUAUAGUCCCCACUAACCUUUCUCUGGUAGUGAUGUACUAGCUCUGGUUCCUUAAGGAGCCCCUUUGGAGUUUGCACCAACCUUGCCUUCCUGGGGCUGGAAACCCUUUCACCCAGCACCCAUCUCCUGACCUGGGGAGCCUGUCAGGAGCCAGCCCCACGGACUCCCAUUUAGGGUUUUCCAAAUCUGAAAGACCUUCAGGAUGCACUGAGCAAGGAUGCUAACUGCUUCUGGAAGCUUCUGGAAUGAAAGCACGGUGACAGUCAAAUUCUUGCAUGGUCUCAUCUGCCACCGCUGUGGCAUGAGCUGAGCUCAGCAAUGCUACCUAUCGUCUCUAGAACCCUCUGGUAACUAGGACUACUAUCCUGUCUCCCUGCGAGUUACACAGGAAGUAGGCCAUAUGGAGCCCUGUGAGGGCUCUGGGAAUAUGAAGAUGGACAUUAAGAGGCAUCCUCCUCAUGCUCCAAAGCCAUUGGUCCGAGACUCAGUGCCCCCUCUGGGGGUCUCCUACAAGGCUACAGGAAGACAAAACAGGACACACUACUCUUCUGCCAUGAGCACUGUGAUUCAACAGUCAAGAAGUGAUUUGCUUAAGCUACAGUGAUUACAAUAAACACACGAGAAGUUGCCCGAGUCAAGGAUCUGCCCUCUGGCCGGCUUCCUGACUCCUGGAGCCACAGGCACACGUGGCUAGAAGGCCCAGCACAUGUUAGAAAGGUAUGUGUGUUUGUGAGUUGUGAAGCCAAAGGGAAGCAGAGGCAGGUCAAGGGGCCUGUUCAGUCUGAUGGCUCUAAGGUUCCAGUAGGCCAGGAGAGAGCCUGCUCCCAGGACACCAGCACACCCCACAUCUGGAUGCUUGCACAUGGACUUGAAGCCCAGGAAGAAAUGCCAGGAAGUGUAGCGUCUCUGUAAAAUCAAGACCUAGGCUGAGUUCACCCUGCAGCCGGCUUCUGCUCCCUCAGCUCAGCAGAAAGUCUCCUGAGCAACGCCUCUCCUGUCAAUCAAAUGACCACACAGCUGUCUCAGCAGCAAGCCUAGCAGAAAGGCUCUGAACGGAGCCACGUGCCAACUUCCUCUCCCUUCCGCAUGCUCACUGUGGCCCACCCCAGGCUCUUCAGGAAGACGGGCCAUAAAGCAAGCCUUAACAUCAAGGCUGAUGCAAGAUUCUGUGAACCGGAGUUCAGGAAGCAACCAUCCAAACCCACAGAGCAGCCGUGACCGCAAAUGAGAUGAAACAACUAAUUGUUUGGGAAACCGUGCAUCUCAGUGGCUUGAAAGGCUUAGGCAAAGGCUACUUGGCAACUUCUGAGAUUGUGUGUGCCUGCCAGGUGGGACGGAGGCCAGGGGAGGGCAGCUUAGCCCUCCCGCCGGAGGAGCAGGUGCAAACCACAGCAGCAAGCAAAGCUUCUCCCACAGUCCCCAUGCUUAUCACAGGUCAGAGUCUCCCCUCACUGAGGGUGAGAUCCCCAACUCCUGACUGGACUUCAAGAGACCUUACCAUCAUAUACCAAGUGACUGGGUAGUUUCUGCUCCUCUCAUAAACUCACCUUCUAGAAUCUUCUAUGCGCUGCCACAAGUGCCACCACCUGCUCACAGUCGAGUCCCCAACACAGGGUGCCCUGCACAGGUAUCCAUAGACUUCAAGUGCCGAGGCAAGCCCACCUCCUGUGCACAGGCGCGGCUAUGCUGCACUCCCUGCUAGAACAACUGCUCCUGUGUUCUGGGCACUUAGUCUGCCCUUUCCCCAGAUGGCCCCAGGCACACGUGCCUCCCUCCUACACUUCAGAUUCGUUACCUGUUUGGAAAGAAGCCCCGCAGGACCCAAGUGAGGCCUAGACCCCAUCUUAAGUCUCCUCUAAUGGGAGUUGUUGGCCCAGUGGUUGCCUGGAGUGACCAGUAUGGCGUGCCCUUGUCCACUCUGUCCAGCCUUCCUCAUGGCUACUUGCUGGGGACUGAAUUCUCUCUGACCCCCCCAAGUUUGUACUGUGAGCUGUUAGCCCCUGUGUGAGGGCAUUUGAAGAUGGGGCCUAUGGUCUAGGGAUGAAACUAAGGGAUCGAGAGCAUCCCUAGCAUGCACAAGACCCUAGGUUCUGUGCCAAACCUCACUAAAUACAAGAUGAGGUUGACAUGAGGGAACAAUGCCUUCCCAAGAGCCCAGGGGUGGUCUGUAUGUCUCUCUUACAGAUGCAGCAGAAAGGUUUAACUGUAAACUCAGCAGAGCCCGGCACAGAGCUGUCUACACUGGUCCCCUCAUCUUGGGCAUUCAGCCCCCAGGACUGUAAAGAGAUGGAUGCCUAUGAUCUUGUUACCCAGCCUGCCUGACGCUACAGUCUCAAGAGGCCUGUUUUGACCAACUCAUUUCUCCAUAAUGUCCUGAGUCAAGCAUCAUAAAGUCCUUGAGGCAGGCAUCAAGGUUAAGGGACUGCCUCGUCCAGGACCACAGGGCUAGCCUGUGACAAGGCUCUCAAAGAGCUGCUAUCACCUCCACAUUGCCUGUGUGCAUCCUUGCCCAUCUUCCCCUUCCUCUGUCCCUGGCAUCUUUAUGGGUUUCCAGGUCUCUCCAGUUAGCAGCCUCACUCCAUAGCUCUCCAUCCUACUCAGCCAUUACACUCGAAGGAAGGGGCUUGUAAUUCAGGACAGGCAUCACGGCCUGACUGUUCACAGCCAGACUGCUGUUGUCCAAAUCUGCGGUGUCCUUUCAUAGGCUCAUCCCAUGCCAUCUCUAUAAAGACAACAGUCAUUCCUAACUUCAGGCUUUGGAGGCAUCAGCGAUGCAGCCUCCUUACCCACAACAUGGCAACCCGGGCAGAAGAUGGCGGCUCUCAGUCUACAUCCAUCUCACACAGGUCCUCUUCCUUUGGAGGGGGAGGGGAAGAAGUACAAAUCACAUCCUGCCCCCACAGAGUACCAGCUGCCUCAGGCUGACCACGUGUGGAAUAGAAUUCUGAGUCACCCCCUGCUGCAAACCAGAGACCUCGGGAAGCUAGCCCCAGCAGCAGCCAGCCGCCAGACAUACAAGGCCUCAGGUCUUCUGAGAAAAGUGCCCUGCUCCAAACUGUCCCCAGCUCUCAGGAUGAGUAAACCCAGAAGUUCUGAGCCUCCGAUUUCAAGUGAGGCAGAGGUGCUAGCCAGGCAAUGGCAUGUUGCUGGGUGGGGGCGGGCGGAGUAGUUUGCACCCUAAGGUGGUGAAGGAGCUGUCUGCCUUCAACUGUGCCCUAGAAGAUUCACAUCUGCAAGAAUCAAGCAACACAGGAUGGUGCUGUAGGACCCAACUCCGGCACCCUCUGACCCCAGCCACCCACACCCACCAGGCACCCUGGGUAGUGUUUUCAAUAACCCAGAGCUCUGUCAGGGGCCUAAAGAGGAGCAGGGCUGUGUGUCAGGGUGCACAGGAGAUGCCACUGAGAUGGCUGGCCAGUCAAGCUCACCUCUGGAGUAUCUAGAGAAGCGUGGCAUGCGGGUCUUGUGCAGGUCCCAGGAUUGGAUAUGUCACCCUACUUUGUCCCAUACGAGACAUGUUAGCAGGAACCAGUGUCACAGAUACCUGGCUCUGGAUGGGUCAGAGCGAGACCCUGGGCAUAUGGCUAGAAACAGCCUCUGGAAGGCAGCCCCUAGCAGUACAGGGACUGUGUGGGAGAGACAGAUUGUACAGGUGACUGUGGAGGGCAGAUGGGAAAAUCUCUGGUAUUGAUGUUCAGGGCUGUCCUCCUUGGAUGUGUCCUGGUCAUAAGGCAGAGGAUGGUGCCCUGAGCUUCGGGCCAUGCCAUUCCUCUGCUGGGCAAGUUCUUUUCCUUAAGUGUGUUAAAGAGUCCAUGAUCUAAGGUUGACCUAAAACUCAGGGGAGUUCUGGGGGCCGGAGAGCUGGCUCAAUGGAGAAGAAGACGACACAGCAGAAGACAGAAGAGAGCCAGCUGGUUCCAGGACCCACAAGAGGUCUAACAAGUCAGCACAGGGACAAGGCCCCAGGAGAGCCCUGUCUGCUGUGAAGAAGCCAAUGACAGGCCCAUGGGGAAGAAUGGACAUCUUAGCAGAUGGGACUAUGAGUGAGUAACUCAGAAAACCGUGGCCCUGGACGCCAACCCUAAGUAGAAUUGUGCAGGGUGAUGGGAGGGGCUCCUAUGCUAGAAGGUGACUUAAUGAUGUCAGGGGAGAAAGGGCCCUUCAUUGGCCCUUAGGCUUGGUGAACUCAGAACGCCUGGUCGGUUAUAAAAGCACAGACUGAGGCCCAACAGUGUCGAUCCUGCAGCACCGAGUGGGGCCCUGCACGUCUUUCAGGUCAGAUAACUGAUCAGAAACAAAAGGAAGUGACGAGCAUGGAAUUCGGGGAGCCAUCUCUCUGGUGGAGUGAAGGGUGUGUUUAAGAAGACAUGCCGAGUUCAGGCACAACGCUUACCUGAAGCCCAGGAGCUGCCACUCUGAACGCCAUCACUGAUAGAAAUGCCACACACCGUCCCUGCUGUUAGGGGUAAAACCCAGACCCUGGAAGACUAUAUAGCACAGCCACCUCUUACAGAGCAUGAGACGUCACAGACAGGGGCAGGGCGGGACUACGUAGAAAGUGACCAGACACCAAGCUGGCCAGAGUCUGUGCUCUGCUUGACCCAUGAUGAAUGUACAUCACACACACUGCAAUGUAACAUAUAAUAUGCAAAAUACAUAUCCUUGAGUAUAUAGCUAUGUAUUAUAAAUGUUAUUAUCUAUAAGGAGCAUUUACAGAACAACUGAAAUUGUGAGCCCUGCAUUUUAUGUGAUUAAAAUUUUCUCACUUUUAGAAAGGACAAUGUUAAAAGUGGGGAAUUUUUUUUAAAGUCCUUAAGUUUUAGAGACUAGGUCAGGAAGGCCAGGCUAGCCUCAGACUCCCUCUGUAAGCCAAUGUUGAUGCUGAUCUCCUGAUCCUCCUGCCUCUACCUCACCAGUGCUGGGAUGACAGGCACACCCCAUCGCCAUGUGGUGCUGAGAUGAAACCCAGAGUCUGCCUGCACUCUGCCAACUGAGCCACAUCUCCUGGCUCUUUUAGAGAGUCAAGACUGAGGGGUUAUAGCCAGCCAGCCUUCUCCAAACAAUCAGAGGGGUCAAAGGUCAGAGGCACCCCGGUUUAAAUUUGCUCUCAAGGAGUAUCAAUAGGUAGUAUGUAAUUUUGGUUCUUUUUUGUUCAUAUAGUUGAUAAAACACGCAAGCCUCAGUCUACACAUAGGACUCUUUCCUGCCUGAUGCCUCAGGCACAUUGCUAAGCAGAACAAGACAGGGUAGGAAGUCCUUAUUUAGACCCAGCCGAUGGCAGGGACAAAAGGACCUGCUCAAAUCGGCCAUUCAAACCUUAAAACAUCAAUUAUGUUAAGGCCAUGAGUUCAUAAUGGCUCUAAAUUAGUCACACACGCACACACAACUCCAAUUGAUACCAGGGAAGGAUGUUAAUAAACCAACCUAUUCUUUUUAAAGUGGUAAAUAAUGGAGAAAAAUCGGGGCAUUCAUCUAGCUUGCCGGUCUCUCUGAAUUCUUCCAUUGUGGGCAUGGGGAAGCUUCCCUUUCCAGCCCUUUUCCAGCUUACCGAAGAGGAAGGGUUGGCUGCUUGGGAACAGAGUGUCACCCAGCGCUGAUAGUCUACCAGGGGACUUGUUGGGGGAAGCAUUCCCUAGCAAGCACUACUAACUGCCAGGGACAGGUCACCUGAAAUCACACCCCUCCCAGUGAGGACACACCACCUCCUGGGAGGUCGCCUUUCACACCUCUCAACUGUCAUGCUACCAUAAACUACUACUAGAGGCAGAGAACCGAGCUGAACCUCCCCCACCAGAACAACAGAAGCAGAAAGAAGCUGGGCCAGGAGAAAUUCCACAUAGGACAAACCACCACGUUCAUGUUUCUUGCAGUAAAAAUGGUUGACUAAACUCUGUGAUAGGCCCCUCCUUGUGAAACAUUUGGGGCUCAAUAGAGGAGCAAUGGAGCAGUGUGGGGUAAGAAACUUAGAACAAAGGCGGUCACUCUCUCGAGCUAAUUCUAGUGCAAACGCAUGAUAAAAUCUUAACAGUGAACAAGGUGGGCUGGGAGGCAGCUCGGCGUAAAUUCCUGCUGCACAAGCAAGCGGACCAGGAACCCAUGUAAAGUCUGGACGUGCUGGCAUAUACUAAUAAUCCCAGUCCUAGGAAGAGAGGUGGACCCCUGGGGGUUGCCAGCCAGCCAGCCAGGUCAGUGAUCUCCAGGUUCAGCGAGAGACCCUGACUCAAAAAAUGUAAGAGAAAAAGACUUGCCCUCCGACCUCACAGACACAAGAACGCUCACACGCACACACAGAUUUCCUGAAGGUCCCUCAGCCCUAAGGAGGAAGGCAGCAGACUGACAGAGGCAGUGAGGACUUCCAAGAUCCCCACCUGUGCAGGCGCUGCCUUAGGCAGCCACAGGGGUCAAUGAUGCCCCUGAAAUUACAUGCCUAUGGGUCCCCACAGGAAUGUGACCAAAACCAGUCAGCACAGGACAGCCAGCAGAUGCUGUGCUGCUAAGUAGCUCAGAUGCAGGAGGCAAACGGUGGGCCUGUGGAUUGGGCAAGUGGCUGCUUCUACACGACACUACCAUGCCUGGGUCUUCCUUGCCUUUGACUUCUGACAGCUGUGAGGGAAGGGGGGCCAAAACAAUGCCCCACUUCUUUAACGCUGACAUCUAAUCUAAAUACUAAAAAAAAAAAAAAAAAAACCAAAACACUGUGUGGGUGGGCCAAGCAAAAUUUUCAGGCUAACUGCACCCAGGGAAUAUCAGCGGGCCACCCCUUUCCCACAUCUGAGAGCUGACAAUUCAACACAUGUGUAGGAAGACACAGAGGGAACUAUUGAAUCAGUUUGGGAUCAGCUCAUUUGUCGGUGCCCAAUAAAGCUGCGAAUUCAAAAGAUGCCAUCAACUCCCAGAAAUCUGUGCACCCCGGCUGCUGGAAUCUCACAGGCACUCCGCCAUCCUUAGUUUAUGCAACAGAACCUCCACUUUCUCCAGGCUUUUGGAAAACCAGCAGCCAAGGAGUGUCCUUCCAGCUUUUCUGGGACAGCAGAAUCAAGGGGCCACAGAAGAAACUCAUUUGUUAGUCCAAAGGGCCUGUACCCAACAGUUCUGCCACAGACCCAAGCUAGGUGCCCCACACUGGAUGCAAUGUGACCCAGGGGCUACCUGCUCUGGCUCACCUGCCCAGAGAUCUAGUUUCAGAGCAGUACAGAAGGUAAAACAGACAUCAGUCCAAGCCCAACAGGCUUUGUUCGUAAGCACCAGAGCAGACAACCCUCACGCCCAACCCUGAGCAUCUUCCACUUCGCCCAGAGACACAGAGCAGGCAGUGUUGAUCAGCAAAGCAGGCCCGGCUUUAUAAACGGUCUCAAUGUGACUGGAUCCCCAGAUCAAUAAAAAAUUAAAGAGGUGUCAAAAAACCCCACGGGAAAGAGCCAAGUUGAUGGUUUAAUCAUUCCCCAAGACCCAAGCCCUUCUCCAGGUGCUAAAAUCAAGUCCAGUGCAUCCCGGGCAAGAAGCAAGUCCAACAGAACGGUAGAGGGCAAAGCCCAAGGACCAAAUCCAAACAGCACUCAAUGGGAUGGGAGAAAAAAAAGAUACAACUUCUUCACAAAAGAGGCACAGGGUGGGGGCCAAGCCCCUGGGAAAACAAAACUCCACCAGCUACCCAAUAUGAAUUUACUGGUGGAGAAGGAAGAGCGGAGAGAGUACAGAAGGAAGAUUCGGCUAACUGCUGGUCAGUUCCUAGUCUUGAGCCACAAACUUGCUUUUUGGGGAAUGUGCUUUUCCAUAGAGAAGUAAGCUAUAGCUACAGCUGUAUUUGAGGGAAAUAGAAUCAUAUAUUACAUAAACACACAAGAUUACUUUAGGUGUGGCCUGGGAGACGGGGGGCCCAGCAUGGUCUACAGGGUGCUGGCAGAUGGCUCAGUGGAUAAUGUACUUGCCAUGAAGAUCCAGGCUGCCAUUUUGGGGUGGCCCAUUUGUAGCACUACACUAUUAAUUUGGGGUGGGUGUUAAUAUAGUUCAAUAUUUAAAUACAGUGGAAAAUACUCAGUUUUCACCCAAUGUCUACUGCUCAUGCAUUUCCUAUGAAGAACAAGAGCCAAACAGCUUUCAAAACAUCAUUUUCAACACCCACAGAUGCUUGGUCAUAUGCAUGCACAAGCUAGGCUGUCCCCGCAGGUCACCUCCAGGCUCUGGCCAGCACAAGACCACAUCCUCUCUCUCCCCCAGGAGGGAGAAAGACAGCAAGGAUGCCUGCAGAUUUGGGCCCUGGUCCUUCUGCACCCACAGUCUCCUUCCUGUGGCUAAGACCCAAGGGCAUGCCCAUGCCCCCAAGGCCUGUGGUAGACUUGGUGGUGAACUGGCCUGAUGACCCUCAAACCACAGUUCAGCUGUGGCAUCACCAUGGCUCCCAGGAGGCGUCAUCAAUGGUGAGGGUCACAGGUGACAGUCACUGCUUCCCAGGCAUUGCUCCCAAGGGUCUGCAUCCAGGCACGGAACCACAGCCACCCUGCAUUCACACUAAGGAAGUGGUGGAGGUGACCUACACUCUUGUCCUAUUUUGGCACUUCUAGACGCAUCUCGAACAACCCAACUUGGGGAAAGAUGCUCACCUCGGCUCCAUCUCCUUCCUGCUGGGGAUUCACCUUCUCCAGCGUCAGCUGUGUCUAAAAUGAAUGUGCACCCCAGGGCCACACUCUGAGGUUCUCAGACUACAGACCUUGUUGGGCCCUAUGAAUAUACUUGGCGUUAUCGAAAUGUGCAAACCCAUGAAAACACUUAUCAGCCAGGUCAAUGUCAGUAAAAGAAUCAUUAUAGGAAAAAUUGUGUAAAAACUAUUUCUUUUCAGAAUUUUCCACUUAAUAUUUUGGACUGGAGUUGAGCGUAAGAAACUGAACUGAAGAACAAAAAUCCAAAGAUAAGGGAGGUGACUAUAAACUUUUGGUUGUCCUGGAAACGGCACGUGAACUUGACUCUUGCCCCCCUCACAUCUGUUUCCCAAAGGCAGCCAGAGCCACCUUCUCCAAAGAUAUCCAGAUCACUGCUGCAGAAAACCCCCACCACCACCUGCUGCACUGACUUCCAGGUCACCUUCACCUGCUGUUCCCAAUCCCCCCACCCCGAAAUGCUCUCCCUUCAGACCUUCCCACGGCAGUGCUCACCUCUCUGCUGCCCGCCAGCUCCUACCUGUGUGACGUCCCUCAUCAUCAUUCAACCCCCUAGACACUGGCAUCCACACUGCAUCUUUCCCCGAACAUAACAAAAACGCUUCAAGACAAGGCUUUCUUACCCCUCCACACACAUAAAGCCCAGGACAGGGCCUGGUUCAGGCAGCAGUCAGAAAAUAUUUGGAGGUCUGGGCAUGAACAGUGGGAGAUCAGAGGCCAAGGACCACUGCGGAGGACGAAGUGGUAGGACAGGGAGCUGGAGAGGGUGGAGAAGGGAUGGGGGAGGGACUCAGUUACUGGACCAGCUGCCAUGUGCAGCCUGAACUGCCCAGGCACAAUCUAGGGCUCUAGGGGGAGAGAGUAGAUCCAUGACCCAGGACAAAGCAGGUCAGCGUUGACAGAUGACAUGUCAAGGGCGGGUGAAGGGGACCCACUGCACCCAGAAUGUUACACAUUUCCCAUUUUGAGGAGACUUUUGUAAGCAUCUUUAAGUACCAGAGUGGGAAGAGCAGAUGAGCUCUCAGCACAAGAAGGAACAGCCCAAACAAUGAAGAACAUGCAGGAAUGCAGCUCAGAAGAGGGGCACAAGGCAGGACACUUGGUCAUGGGCCAAGUUUGGAGACACUGGGGUGUGGCUGUGGCGCUCCUUGGACCCAGGGGAGAGGCUGGGCAAACUUCCAAGGUCAAUGUUUGCCUCUGUGCAGAGACUCAUGUCUACUGUGUCCUGCUCAUUCUGGGCUCACUAGCUCUGGCUUCAGGGAGUGAGACCCCUUUGAAUGACAACCGAAAGGAGCCCAAACCCAGUCACCCUCCAGGAGAUGGAAGCAUGUCUUGAGUCUGUCUGUCUGCUUUAAACCCCAAACAACAGAUCAAGAAUCCCACACCACAGAGGAAUGUACACAAGGUUCUGGGUGCAGGGCCAGGUCUCUCAGGAGAAUCCAAAGCCCUAGCAAACAAAAGCCAAACGGCGCCCACAUUUUCUGAGUUUGCCCCAGAGCAUGGCAGGCCACACCAAGCAGAACUUUGGGAACAAAGCAAGCCAAGCACCAAACUGGCCAAAGACACCUUGCUGCCUUGGGGACACAUGACUCAGGCCUAGGGAGACAAAGUAUAGAUGGAGAAAUCUGAAUAUAGUGUUUGAGGGACCAGCGCUGGGCUGCAGGACCAGACAUGCUGUGGGCCACACCUCGAGGGCUGUGGGCAGACAGAGGACAGAGACCGUGGGAAUGGCUCCCCUCAAAGGGCACCUCCUGGUCUUCCAGAUUUUUUUCUAAUGUCAACCAGGACAGUCAAGGCUCUGAGAAGUCCCACAACACCCUAACCUUUUCACCUUCUAAAACCACAGAACCUUCCUACAGAGGAUUCCCCACCGAGAUUGGAGAUGGGAGGGGGUCACAAGCGUGGUGAAGGGGUACUGAAGAAAAGCUUCCUGCAGUGGGAGCCAUCUGUGCCCAAAUCUCUCUGAGAGCAGAAUCAUGUUGGGGGAGGGGAGCUCACCCCAACACACCUGUGAGCCUUCCUAUAGAUUCCGCAUAGGGCACCUAAACCCAGCUGCUUCCUCUGUGGCACGAGUCAUCCCUUCUGCGCAUCUGUGGCAGACACAGAUGGCCACCUCUGACCCACUGAGGCAUCUACCUGCAGGUUCCAUAACUGAGGUGACUCGCAUUCAUCUUUAACGCAAGAUGAUGGGGGGGGGCACAUCUCUGCUCCCAGAGACCAAAUUAACCCCUCCACAGA